AUGAAUCACCAUCUUAAUGGUUCAAUACCCAAAGAGAUUUUCAAAUUACCCAGCCUUUCUUACUUCUUGGACUUGUCAUAUAACUCCUUUUCUGGACCCCUUCCCAGUGAAGUUGGUAGCUUGAAAAACCUUAACGCGUUGAUUCUAUCAGGAAACCAGUUGUCUGGCAAGAUACCAGAGAGUCUUUAGAAUUGCAUAGUGUUGGUAUGGCUAUUAUUAGACAACAAUUCCUUUGAGGGAAGCAUACCUCAAUCACUGAAGAAUAUAAAGGGGCUCAGUAAGCUGAACAUGACCAUGAAUAAGUUCUCCGGUAAUAUUCCCGUAGCCCUUGGCAGUAUUGGAAACCUGCAGGAACUGUACCUAGCACACAACAAAUUGUCAGGAUCAAUCCCUGCAGUUCUACAGAAUUUGACAUUAUUGACCAAAUUGAAUUUAUCGUUCAACAAUUUGCAAGGUGAUGUGCCAAAGGAAGGUAUUUUCAGAAACGUCACUCAGUUAGCGGUUGCUGGGAAUGUCAAUUUGUGUGGUGGUGCACCUCAACUUCACUUGGGUCCAUGCCCCACAAGCCACUUAAGCAAGAAGAAUAAAAAGAUGUCAAAGCCUCUUAUAAUUUCUCUAACGGCAGCUGGAGCAAUCUUGUUCUCACUUUCAGUUAUUCUUGUUGUUUGGAUACUUUGCAAGAAGCUCAAACCAAACCAGAAGACAUUAACACAAAAUUCCAUUGCUGAUAAGCAUUACAAGAGAAUCUCCUAUGAUGCAUUAUUCAGAGGAACUAACGAGUUUUCAGAAGUGAACUUGCUUGGAAGAGGAAGUUACGGUGCAGUUUAUAAGUGUGUUUUGGACACUGAAGAUAGAACAUUUGCUGUCAAGGUGUUUAAUCUUGGUCAAUCUAGGUAUUCCAAGAGUUUUGAGGUUGAAUGUGAGGCCAUGAGAAGAAUACGACAUCGUUGUCUCAUUAAGAUCAUUACUUCUUGUUCGAGCGUCAACCACCAAGGUCAAGAAUUCAAGGCACUGGUCUUUGAGUUCAUGCCCAGUGGUAACUUGGAUGCUUGGCUCCAUCCAAAAUCUCAAGAGCCCACUACAGACAACACACUCAGCCUUGCCCAGAGGCUUGAUAUUGCUGUUGAUAUUGUGGACGCAGUAGAAUAUUUGCACAACUACUGUCAGGCAUGUGUAAUCCACUGUGAUCUUAAGCCAAGCAACAUUCUUCUUGCUGAAGACAUGAGCGCGCGAGUUGGAGACUUUGGCAUGUCCAAGAUCCUUCAAGAAAAUAUAAGUGAGGGGACGCAAACUUCGUAUAGCUCAACUGGAAUUAGAGGUUCCAUAGGCUAUGUUGCUCCAGGUGACUGAAACUCUAGUAAACUUAUAUUUUACUGA
rnacentral:rRNA from 1 species